CGGACGGGUGAGUAAUGCUUGGGAAUCUGGCUUAUGGAGGGGGAUAACGACGGGAAACUGUCGCUAAUACCGCGUAGUGUCGAGAGACGAAAGACCGGGACCGUAAGGCCGGUUGCCAUAAGAUGAGCCCAAGUGGGAUUAGGUAGUUGGUGGGGUAAAGGCCUACCAAGCCUGCGAUCUCUAGCUGGUCUGAGAGGAUGGCCAGCCACACUGGAACUGAGACACGGUCCAGACUCCUACGGGAGGCAGCAGUGGGGAAUAUUGCGCAAUGGGGGCAACCCUGACGCAGCCAUGCCGCGUGAAUGAAGAAGGCCUUCGGGUUGUAAAGUUCUUUCGGUGAUGAGGAAGGCGGUUAGUUUAAUAGGCUAAUCGAUUGACGUUAAUCACAGAAGAAGCACCGGCUAACUCCGUGCCAGCAGCCGCGGUAAUACGGAGGGUGCGAGCGUUAAUCGGAAUAACUGGGCGUAAAGGGCACGCAGGCGGUUGCUUAAGUGAGGUGUGAAAUCCCCGGGCUUAACCUGNGAAUUGCAUUUCAGACUGGGCAGCUAGAGUAUUUUAGGGAGGGGUAGAAUUCCACGUGUAGCGGUGAAAUGCGUAGAGAUGUGGAGGAAUA
rnacentral:rRNA from 1 species